UAAGGUGUUGUUACCUUCUUCUUGA
rnacentral:tRNA from 1 species